rnacentral:rRNA from 1 species
GACAGAGGCCCCAAGCGUUAGGCGGAAUCACUGGGCUUAAAGCGUGUGUAGGCGGACGCCUAAGUGUCUUGUGAAAUCCCACGGCUCACCCGUGGAACUGCUGGGCAUACUGGGCGUCUUGGGCCAACCAGGGGCAGCCGGAACAAGCGGUGGAGCGGUGAAAUGCGUAGAUAUCGCUUGGAACGCCGAAGGUGAAAACAGGCUGCUGGGGUUGCGCCGACGCUGAGACACGAAAGCCAGGGGAGCAAACGGG